rnacentral:rRNA from 1 species
UACGAGGGGGGCAAGCGUUGUUCGGAAUUAUUGGGCGUAAAGGGCGCGUAGGCGGCCUGACAAGUGGAAGGUGAAAUCCCUCGGCUUAACCGAGGAACUGCCCUCCAAACUGUUUGGCUUGAGACCGGGAGAGGUGAGUGGAAUUCCCAGUGUAGCGGUGAAAUGCGUAGAUAUUGGGAGGAACACCAGUGGCGAAGGCGGCUCACUGGACCGGUACUGACGCUGAGGCGCGAAAGCGUGGGGAGCAAACAGG